rnacentral:rRNA from 1 species
UACGGAGGGUGCAAGCGUUAUCCGGAUUCACUGGGUUUAAAGGGUGCGUAGGUGGGCAGGUAAGUCAGUGGUGAAGUCUCCGGGCCUAACCCGGAAACUGCCAUUGAUACUAUCAGUCUUGAAUACCGUGGAGGUAAGCGGAAUAUGUCAUGUAGCGGUGAAAUGCUUAGAUAUGACAUAGAACACCAAUUGCGAAGGCAGCUUACUACCCGAAUAUUGACACUGAGGCACGAAAGCGUGGGGAUCAAACAGG